UGGGUCAGAGAUUUUUCCGGCCCCCAGGUC
rnacentral:piRNA from 1 species